AUUGAACGCUGGCGGCAGGCCUAACCCAUGCAAGUCGUGCGAGCGGCGGACGGGUGAGUAAUGGAUGGGGAUCUGCCUGAUGGAGGGGGAUAACUGCUGGAAACGGUAGCUAAUACAGGAUACCAUCAGAUGACCCAAUAUGGUAUUAGCUUGUAGGUGAGGUAACGCCUCACCUAGGCGCCGAUCCCGAGCUGGUCUGAGAGGGUGAUUAGCCACACUGGGACUGAGACACGGCCCAGACUCCUCCGGGAGGCAGCGUUGGGGAAUAUUGCACAAUGGGCGUAAGCCUGAUGCAGCCAUGCCGCGUGUAUGAAGAAGGCCGUCGGGUUGUAUAGUACUUUCAGUCGGGAGGCGUUACCGACAGAAGAAGCACCGGGUAACUCCGUGCCAGCAGCCGCGGUAAUAC
rnacentral:rRNA from 1 species